AACCAUAGAAACCUGCGGAGUACCUGCGGAGGGAUCAUUACAGAGUUGCAAAACUCCCUAAACCAUUGUGAACGUUACCUAAACCGUUGCUUCGGCGGGCGGCCCGGGUCCUUCCCGGCGCCCAUCGGCCCUCGCGGGCGCCCGCCGGAGGUAAGCCAAACUAUUGCAUUGUAUGGCCUCUCUGAGUCUUCUGUACUGAAUAAGUCAAAACUUUCAACAACGGAUCUCAGAUCGGAAGAG
rnacentral:misc_RNA from 1 species